GGAAGUGCGUGCCAGCCUGGUGGCGGUCGCGGUCUUCAAAACCGUUGUGCGGAAUGACACAAGUUUCGCAGGUGGGUUCGAUUCCCAUGCACUUCCG
rnacentral:tRNA from 1 species